rnacentral:lncRNA from 1 species
CCUAAAUUCAAUUCCUGCAGAGCUUUCGAAACCUUUUUCGCAGAUCUUUUUGCAAUCUUCAAUUGAUUUUUCUGCUCCUCGUGAAGCCACUUCGUGAAGGUGAGGCGCCAGUUCUUUCGCUUCAUGAAAUUCCACAGAAUAAUCCAGUUCCUCACUGAUAUAUAGCAUAUAAUAAAUAGUGUGGAAUAAUUUGUCUGCUAAUGAUACCUGUGAGCCAUGCACACCAUGUAUAUAUCACGCCACCAGUUCUUUUGCUUCAUGAUUUGUAGCACUUAAUUGCGAUGGAUCAGAACAAGUUUGAUGAGCGAGCUAGCUAACAUGCAUGCAAUGAGACAGUGAGUGCCCACCACAAGAUCAUAACACAGGCUAUAUACGUAUUGACUACGCUGGCGCGCUCAUGGCCCAUCAUAUAUCUCUCGUGUGUGCUAAGCAUCCAAUUGAUUCACAGUUGAGCAGUCCAUUCUGUCAGUUUGGGCAAUCAAAGCUCUCCAUUUCUCUCCGUCGUCGUCCCCUUCAUCAAAUCUCGAUGAGGGAAUAAAGCCAA